AUUGAACGCUGGCGGCAGGCCUAACACAUGCAAGUCGGGCGAGAGGCGGACGGGUGAGUAAUGUAUGGGGACUGCCUGAUGGAGGGGGAUAACUACUGGAAACGGUAGCUAAUAACGAAUACAAUAAGAUAACCCAUAUGGGAUUAGCUGGUAGGUAAGGUAACGGCUUACCUAGGAGACGAUCCCUAGCGGGUCUGAGAGGAUGAUCAGCCACACUGGGACUGCGACACGGCCCAGACUCCUACGGAGGCAGCAGUGGGGAAUAUUGCACGAUGGGCGCAAGCCUGAUGCAGCCAUGCCGCGUGUAUGAAGAAGGCCUUCGGGGUGUAAAGUACUUUCAGUCUGGAGGCGUUACCGACAGAAGAAGCACCGGCUAACUCCGUGCCAGCAGCCGCGGUAAUAC
rnacentral:rRNA from 1 species